GUCUACCAGAUUGUCAAACACAGUUUGCUUUGGUAAGCAAAUUCAAGUUAUAGGAACUCUUUGAGUGUAUUCUUUGUUUGAAGCUUAAUUUUAAUGUAAAUUUUAAUUUUGAUGAUGACUAGUAGAGUUCAUGGAAAAAAAUGGUGACUUAUCUAAACCUUCCGGAGGUCCAAGAAGACGCGGAAGGAAUUAGCGGAAAAAUUAAACAGUGAUGGAACAGGCGACUCUCGAUCGGUGGAGAAAUAGCGCAAGGUGUGGAGUGAUUUAAAAGAUAACACUAAAAGAAAGCUGGGUAAAAUAAAAAGAGCUGCAAGUGGCACUGGUGGUGGACCGACCUUGAAAACAGGGUCAUGCAAAUAAUUGGAGUGGAGGCAGCUACUGGCACGACGGUGGUGGAAGCUGGCUUUCAGCAGAUUGAAGAUAGUGGAAAAACGCCCAACACCCAGCUAGAAGAAAUUAUGAUACCUGGGUAUAUAGAAGAUAACCAAUUAUUUACUCUGGAUACAACAGCUACAGAAGCCGAUCGGAACACCCCAAGCACCAGUAGCCAAUCCACCGUGAUGCCGCCCACCUUCAGAGUGAAGAGACCGGUGCUUCUCCACCUUCUAAUUUAUCCCGUAAUUAUUUAAUUUAAGCUGUGUGUACAACAUUAAUUAACAAAUAAAGCUACUACAUAAAUA